CAGAAUUCAAUUCAUCUCAAAGAAAACAACGCAAGGAUCUAUUGUGGGAUUUCCCGGACCAUCUACACGUGCACUGUAAAAAUGGACCACGACCUUUCUACAACCCAAUCCAUACAUCCAUUCAUUCACUCGUGUCCGAAUCCACCUUCAAAAUCUUAUAAAAGACAUUAAACUUUCUCCCUCCUCGACGCUCUCCCCAUUCUCCCUUGUAAUGGCAAAGGCAUCAUCGACACCCAAAGUUAGCUUUGUGUAGUACCAUGUACGUUUCCAUAGCUCCUACUUGAUGCAUGUGUAGUGCCCGAUCUAUUUAACAAAUCCCUAGAACAAUGGAAUCCUCACGGCUUCUUAUAUACACUUUGUGGAUGCUGAUUUUCCCAGAAUUAUUUACAGUCUUCCACGAAGGAGAGGCAGCUUAUGCAGUAAAACGUUUCACAGGGUUAUAUACGGGUCCAUACUUCGAUCCCACCACAACUACGAAUAUCACAACCCAACUAGGAACACACGCUUACAUCCCCUGCAAAAUCAAGCAGUUAGGAAACAAAUCGGUGUCCUGGAUAAGGAGGCGAGACGCCCACAUUCUCACUGUAGAUAGGUACACUUUUAUAGCAGAUGAUAGGUUUCAAGCCUUUUUUGUAGAAGCGACUGAUACGUGGACGCUACAAGUGAAAUACGUACAAGCCCGAGACGCAGGACAAUAUGAGUGUCAAGUCAGCACAGAACCAAAGAUGAGUCAUUUUAUUACCCUCAACGUAGUCGUUCCGAAGAUCGAAAUAGAAGGUGAAUCGGACAUCUACGUGAAACGUGGCAGUACAGUCCAGCUCAAGUGUGUGAUCACACAGUCCCUAGAAGAACCCGCCUACAUUUUCUGGUACCACGACGGAGAGCGGGUGCUCAAGUACGACCAAAGUGCCAUCGACAUACGUAUGUCGCGGAAGGGCACUGACACUACUAUCAGCACCAUGACGAUAUUCCGUACGAGACCAGAGGACGCUGGCAAUUACACCUGCAGUCCGUCCAAUCUGGACUCUGCCAGUGCGUACUUGCACGUCAUCAAUGGUAAGUUGGGUACUGAUCAGGUACUGACCAGGUACUUGACCAGGUGAAGGUAACUUGAUUUUCGUAUUUGGCGACACUGUACAAAACCGAGGAAGAUCAACAGAAGAUGUAUUUUUGGAAUAUAUAGCACAUUGAACUUAAGUCAGGCGAAGUUUCCGAUGUCUAAACGGUCAUGCAUUUUAGCUCAACUAACAAAGAAGAAUUAUUGUAUAUAUUUAAGAAUACAUUUUUUUCGUUGACUUCCUCAAUUUUUCUUAAUAUUUCUAUAAAUAAUAUGUUACAAAUAUUUGAAAAUGUCCUUUGUGGUUAAUUGAGUUUUUUUAAUGUUAUUUCUAUACAACUUACUUGAUUUCUAGGAAGUAAUAUAACAGUAUAAGGAAAUCGUUGAAGAUUGUUACAUAUAAAAUGAAGAAACUUCGAUGAGAAAAAUUGGUUUUAGAUGGGACAGAAUAGAUCAGAUAGUAACUAACCAGUUAUCAUGGAUUGCAAAAUGAAGAAUAUGACGAAAAGAAAACUGGGGCAAAUUAAAAGCGAUAGUGAGAGACAACUGGAUAAAGGAAGGAGUAGAGGGGUAAAAAAGAGCUGCCUAAAUCCGCUCUCAUUCCCUUUAGUGUUCCUGGUGUGGACACAUGGACACGCUCUACAAAGAUAUAUCUCUGGGCUCAAUUCGUCAUUUAUGAUUAAGAUACUGCCAUAUUCAAGAAGUCAGUGCCCCAUUCCUGGCUUGUAACUUAAAAAAUGUUAGUUGUUUAACCCUUUCAGCUCCGCUUUAAUAUUUCCAACCUUAGCUCUUGUACCGCUUCAGAAUUAACCUGGUUUGAAUGCCAUUUGGACGCGCGUAUACGUCAUCGGAGCUGAAAGGGAUAUAAUUUUGUAGAAACCAGAGUGGACUAAAUAAAUGAAUUAAUAACAA
rnacentral:misc_RNA from 1 species